rnacentral:snoRNA from 1 species
CAACCAGCCAGUGAGUCUGCUUACCUAAACAUAAAUAUAUAUAUAUAUAUAUGCAUAUAUAUAUAGAGAGAGAGAGAGAGAGAGAUUUAGAAAAAGCUGGCAAUAGUAGUGCCAUGAUAUGAGCCUUAAGGACAAUCAAAGUCAUUAAGGCCCCUGAGAAUGGCUACAACA